GAGGAUCUCAAAAUGAAGAUUUUGAUAUAAAGAACACUCAUUUUGGUUAAGUAUUGAGAAAGUUAUAGUUCUUUGAAGUUUAUGUUAGAAAUCUGGAAAUUUUAGAGAAUUGUUGAAAUAGGAUUUUAUUUCUUAAGCUUUGUUUUCGUGAGCGUCAUCUUUGGUGCGACAUGUUAUGUAUAUCUUUAGGAAACCAGAAUGUUUAAGGUUUUAAUACUCGGUUGGGUUGUUGGCAGGCCGAGAAGAAUUAAACCGAGCUUAUAGACCAAGGAUCUAGCCCAAGACUGUAGAGAUCGACUUCCCGGUGCCUGAUAGACUGCCUUAGUCUGCGGAAGCUUCAUUAUCGAUUGUCAGUACGUGUUUUGAGUUGGGCAUAAAGUCUGUUGUGUUGUGAUGUAUUCACACCCUUGUAUGUUAUAGAUACUCCACAGUUUGUAUAAGCUUUAGGAGCUGUAGUUGUGUAAAUUUUGUUGGUUAUAUUUUGAUUAAGGUGUCUUUAGGUUUACUCGUGAAAUUGGUAAAUUUUGAGGUACACUUCAUGUAUGUGUUUGACUAGCUGUGUUUGACUAGCCUAGGAUCCGAUGUGUUUUGUGGCAUGUACAAUAGUUUAUAUACUAGAUUGGCAAGUUCAUCACAUGAAAGUUUUAAGCAGAGUCGACAGAUA